rnacentral:rRNA from 1 species
CUCUGAAUUCAACCUUCCACCCGUGGUUUAUUGUACCUUGUUGCUUCGGCGGGCCCGCCUCACGGCCGCCGGGGGGCAUCUGCCCCCGGGCCCGCGCCCGCCGAAGACACCUUGAACUCUGUAUGAAAAUUGCAGUCUGAGUCUAAAUAUAAAUUAUUUAAAACUUUCAACAACGGAUCUCUUGGUUCCGGCAUCGAUGAAGAACGCAGCGAAAUGCGAUACGUAAUGUGAAUUGCAGAAUUCAGUGAAUCAUCGAGUCUUUGAACGCACAUUGCGCCCCCUGGUAUUCCGGGGGGCAUGCCUGUCCGAGCGUCAUUGCUGCCCUCAAGCCCGGCUUGUGUGUUGGGUCUCGUCCCCCUUCCCGGGGGGACGGGCCCGAAAGGCAGCGGCGGCACCGCGUCCGGUCCUCGAGCGUAUGGGGCUUUGUCACCCGCUCUGUAGGCCCGGCCGGCGCUUGCCGAUCAACC